AGAGUUUGAUCAUGGCUCAGGAUGAACGCUGGCGGUAUGCUUAACACAUGCAAGUCGAACGGAAUGCUUCGGCAUUUAGUGGCGGACGGGUGAGUAACGCGUGAGAAUCUGGCUUCAGGAUGGGGACAACAGAGGGAAACUUCUGCUAAGACCCGAUGUGCCGAGAGGUGAAAAAUUUAUUGCCUGAAGAUGAGCUCGCGUCUGAUUAGCUAGUUGGAGAGGUAAGAGCUCACCAAGGCGACGAUCAGUAACUGGUCUGAGAGGAUGGCCAGUCACACUGGGACUGAGACACGGCCCAGACUCCUACGGGAGGCAGCAGUGGGGAAUUUUCCGCAAUGGGCGCAAGCCUGACGGAGCAAUACCGCGUGAGGGAGGAAGGCUCUUGGGUUGUAAACCUCUUUUCUCUGGGAAGAUAAUGACGGUACCAGAGGAAUCAGCAUCGGCUAACUCCGUGCCAGCCGCCGCGGUAAUUC
rnacentral:rRNA from 1 species